GGGGACAUGGUGUAGUCAGGCCAUCAUCUGGGACUCCAGAUGAUUGAUGAAAGGCGCGCUUCUGACCUGUGAUGAAGAUCUGGAGUCCUGAGCAGGGGAGAUCCCAGGACCUGGGUUCAAAUCCCAGUGUCCCCA
rnacentral:tRNA from 1 species